CGGCCGCCUGCUCCGCAAUGGGAGCCGCCGCCGUCGCCGCCGUGUAGUUUUCGUGCUCCUCCUUUUCCUCCUCCUCUUUCUCCUCCUCCUCAGGGCCCCAGUCAGGCCGAUCCGCUCCGCUCACGGAAGGAAAACCGAGAUAUAACUUGCUGCCUGUGUGGAGUCACAUGGUGAGUUUGAAGAUCAAAAUUAGAUCCAAGAAUUUCUGAAUCCCAGGUUUCACGUUUCAAUAUUUGGCUUUACUCAAAGUGAGUCAUAAAAUGACUGAUAUCAUGUGUUAGUACUUGGAUGACGAUUUACAGAAAGUCAACUCUUCAACUUGAUUGGCGACAACCCUUUUCAGCCAAAAAUAAUUCAAAAAUGGCAGAACUCUUUAUGGAAUGUGAGGAAGAAGAGUUGGAACCAUGGCAGAAGAAAGUAAAAGAGGUUGAUGAUGAUGAUGAUGAUGAGCCUAUCUUUGUUGGAGAGAUAUCAAGUUCAAAACCCGCAAUUUCAAAUAUUUUGAAUAGAGUAAACCCCAGCUCAUAUUCGAGAGGAAUAAAGAAUGGUGCACUCAGCCGAGGUAUUACUGCUGCAUUCAAGCCUACAAGUCAACACUACACGAACCCAACAUCAAAUCCAAUGGCUGCCUCGCCAGUAAAUUUUCAUCCUGAAUCUAGAUCUUCAGAUAGUUCUGUUAUUGUUCAGCCUUUGUCUAAACCUGGUUAUGUAACGAACUCAUCACGAGUUGUUUCUAGUAAUUCCUCAGAGUUACUGUUUGACUUGACCCAGGAUACAGGAUUACCACAUUACCAAGGAGGACCAUCACUUUCUAUAGCAGGUAUGAAUGAAAGUUCAUUUUUAUCAAAACGUCCUUCUACUUCUGAAGUAAACAGUGUUAAUCCGAAAAAGUCUAAACCCAGUGAAGGUGUUUCUGGAACAAAUUCCUCAGCUGUAUUUUCUUCAGUUAAAUCUCUUUCAGUGACAUCUCCCCAGGCUAUGCCAUCAAAAGGUACAAACACCUCAUCAAAUCAAUCUAAAAAUGGAACACCUUUUCCAAGAGCUUGUCCAAAGUGCAAUAUCCAUUUUAAUCUUUUGGAUCCUUUGAAAAAUCACAUGAAGUACUGUUGUCCAGACAUGAUAAAUAACUUUUUGGGACUGGCUAAAACAGAAUUUUCAAGUACAGCAAAUAAAAGUAAGACUAUUGAUUCAGAAAAAGGAAAACUGAUCAUGUUAGUUAAUGACUUUUAUUAUGGAAAACAUGAAGGAGAUGUCCAGGAAGAACAGAAGACUUACACAACCUUUAAAUGCUUCAGUUGCUUGAAAAUUCUUAAAAAUAAUAUUAGGUUUAUGAACCACAUGAAACAUCAUUUGGAACUUGAGAAGCAGAGCAGUGAAAGCUGGGAAAACCACACCACCUGCCAGCACUGCUAUCGUCAGUUUCCCACACCAUUUCAACUGCAGUGUCACAUUGAAAGUACACACACACCACAUGAAUUUUCUACCAUUUGCAAAAUAUGUGAAUUAUCGUUUGAAACAGAGCAUAUUCUUUUACAACAUAUGAAGGACAAUCAUAAACCUGGUGAAAUGCCAUAUAUUUGCCAGGUUUGCAAUUAUAGAUCAUCAUCAUUUUCUGAUGUAGAAACUCAUUUUAGAACAUCCCAUGAAAACACUAAGAACUUGCUAUGUCCGUUUUGCCUCAAAGUUAUUAAAAUUGCAACACCCUAUAUGCAUCAUUAUAUGAAGCAUCAGAAAAAAGGAAUACAUCGUUGUACAAAAUGCAGACUACAGUUUUUAACAUGCAAAGAGAAAAUGGAUCACAAGACUCAGCAUCAUCGGACAUUUAUAAAACCUAAGCAACUAGAAGGAUUGCCUCCUGGAACAAAAGUUACUAUUCGAGCUUCAGUUGGACCUCUUCAAUCAGGAUCCUCAACUACACCUACCAUUAGUGCAAGCACUUCUACCCUUCAGCUCUCACCUCCAAGGACUAAAAAUAUAACUGCUAAAAAUCCCACAAAAUCUAACACAAGUAAACCUAAUAUAACUAAAUCCAUUGCAAGUAAACCUAAUGCAAGUAAGCCUAAUGGGAGUAAAUCUAAAUACAAAUCGAAAAUAUCUAAUAUGCAAAAGAAACAAAGCACAUUGGCUAGUAGCAAUAAAAAAAGUAAAGUCAAUACAGCAUUGAGGAAUUUAAGGUAUCGUCGGGGAGUUCACAAGUGCAUUGAGUGUUGUUCUGAGAUAAAAGAUUUUGCAAACCACUUUCCUACAUAUGUCCACUGUAGUUUUUGCAGAUACAACACUAGCUGUAGCAAAGCCUAUGUGAAUCAUAUGAUGAGCUUUCAUAGUAAUCGUCCAAGUAAAAGGUUUUGUAUCUUUAAGAAGUAUUCAGAAGAUCUCAGGGGCAUUACUCUAGUGUGCCUUAAUUGUGAUUUCCUAACUGAUGUUUCUGGCUUAGAUAAUAUGGCUACACACUUAAGUCAACAUGAAACUCAUACUUGUCAAGUUGUAAUAGAGAAAGUUUCUGUUUGUAUCCCAACUUCUGAACAUCUUUCUGAAUGGAGAAGCAGCCCAGAGAUUUCAAAAAAUGUCCAGGGUACACCUGGACAGUGUCCCCCUUCGAUGGACACAACUGAUGCCUGUUCUCUCUUUCCAAGGAAUGUGACUAAUUUGACUGUGGGACCUGCUCUAGGUUGUGGUCUCAGGAAAUCAGAUCUUGGGGAGACUCCCUUCCUUCAUGGCUGGCCUUCCAUAAGGCUGAUGCUGAUAUAGCCAGAGAUGGUUUCUCAAGUCCCACCAAAUUGAGCACAGCUUCCCACUGGGGGCUUUGGCUCUUGAUCUUAAGCUUGUGGGUCACUUCUGGCCAAGAAAAUCAAAUCUGUGCUUCAACAUUCCAGUUGAAGUUUAGUCAUUUUGGCUGCUGCCCUUUAAUCUUCCUCUAGCAUGAAUGCAUCCAAGGAAUACAAAAGCUCUGGUUAUUAGGAAAUGGUUAUUUUUCAUGUCCUUGGAACAACAGGUCUCUACAAUUGUUCCAGAAUUUCACUUAUUUUUACUGUUAUUUAAAAUAUAUUACCCAGGAGUAACUUUAUAGUUUUUCAACAUCAAUUAUCGAUUUAAAAAAUUUUUUAAAAUUUAGUUUAAUUUUGAUUGGUUGGUUUUAUGUUCUCCAAAUUUAUUAAUGUCUAUUUUAUGAUGUCUAUUUUUAUAUUCUUUUCUUUAAAACUGUUGUUUAGUGUUUGCUUUGUUUUGUUAAGAAUCCAGGAUAUUCCCUAGAAUUCUCUACGGAUUUCCAAUAGCUGCUUAUUUAUAGCGUUUUAAUUUGGCUGUUGUUCAGACCAUUAGACAUUAUUAUAUCCUUUCUUAUUUCAGGAUUAUUAUUAUUAAUAUUGUCUUAAUAAUUGUAAGUUCUAAGGAGUAAAGAACUGACAAAACCUCUUGCAGACCUUAAAACAAGUUUUAAAGUUAUAUAUUUGUACAUCUGAUACAUAAUGUCUACUUAGCCAUUAAUAGUUCCUUUGGGUAAUGGUAACACUAAAAAAUACGGGGGGGGGGGGGCCAAUAAUGCACUUGUUUCUAUGAUAUAUAAAAUAUAUUUCCACAUAUAUAUAUAUUUUAAAAAGUUGACAUUUGUUUAUUUUAGUUACAUUGACUAUAGCUCUAAUGAACAGUUUUGAUGCUAUUAUUUUCUUUUAAUAAAAAUUCGAUUGUUUAAGUGCCUCAGAAAUUGUUUUCUAAUAAAAAAUUUCAUAUGAAAGCUGUAGAUUUAAUCAUCUAAAUAGAAGCAUUGCCUUUAUUGUUUCAUGGAAGCCCUAUCAUGUGGCCUGCACACUGAGAGCUGUAUCUACUUAGUACACCUUGGAUUUUUUUCUCUGGCACAAUUGAAAGGUCACUGUUUAUACUGCACCAAUUUAUUGAAUUUUAAUGACGCAAAAUACUUUUUGUGAUCUUAGUUACCAUAAGGGUUAGGAAGGCUCUGAAAGUAUGACUUAAUCAUGUUUUUUUAAUGUAAAAUCAGAACUUGUUCAGUUUUACUUUCAAACAGAUUUAAAGCCAAUUUAGAUGACUACUUAUUAUGUAAUGUGCUUCUUGCAAUUAAUAAUCAAAAAAUUUGAACCCAUAGUUUUAAAUUUCCAAACUAAUUACUACUAUAAAUGAAUAAUUUUUUGAAAGCUCUGAAAGUAUCUUGUCUCUCAGUAGGUGGACUUGGUGUUAUUCUAGUCUUUAUUUCCUUAUCUGCUCUAGGAAGUUAUGUCAUUCACCCUUUUUCUACCCGGUUUUUUAAACAAUUUAAAAAUUUUGCCCAGAAACAACUUCUGUACAUUUUCAACAUAAGUUCCUUUUUCAUUUACAGACAUUUGCUCUACCUUGGCUAUAAUUUAAAAAAUAUGAGAAGUUGUAUUCUUGAUAUAACGAUGUAGGAGUACUGCUUUGUGUUCUUCCAUAGGACUCUGUUUUAUAGUAUUAUCAAAUUUAUUUUCUUAAAGUUUUAACUCUUAAAGUUCUAUCACCUCUAACUUCCUUUAAAAAAAUAGUUUAAAUAAAACACCUAAGGCAGUUAAUACAAAACUUGUUUAUUAUAGGCAGUUGGUCGAAUUUUAAUUUUGUGCUAAUGAGUUUUAGCUUAAGUCUAAUCCCUCCUUGUCAUAAAGUUAUUCUAAAUAGUUUAUUCGCCUGAUCAGAAAUGGCCAUUUCAUGCAUGUGUGCUUUUGGUUACCACUGAAUAAAAAGUGAGAUUGGUGCAGUUUAAGUCCAUUGCUAUUCUGAGAAAAAAUGACUGCUAAACUACAGAGACUUGGAUUCUUGCCCUAUUUUGGCACAACACCUCACCUCUUUGGGCCUCAUUUGUUUAUCAGCUAGUAUUUCUUGAACAUCUACUUUGUGCUAGAAAAAUGGACUGAAAUCUUUGCCCUCACAGAACAAGCAUUUUAGUGGUAAAAAAAUAGACAAUAUAAAGUCAAUAAAAUAUAUAGUAUGUUAGAUAGUGGUCAAUAGUAUGGAGAAAAAUAAAAUAGGGAAGGGGAAUAAGAAGUACUGGGUGGGAGUUUGGAGGUUGCCAUUUAAAAUUUGAUAGCCAGGGAAGGUCUUACAGAGAGAUGACAUUUGAGUAAAGACCUCAAGGAAGAACUGCAUGGAGACUGGUUUGGCUGCAAAGAAGUGAUAAAGAGGGAGAAUAGUAGGAGUUGGGGCCUGCAAGGUAAUGUGGGCCCUUAUGGACCAUUGUGAGGAAUUUGCCUUUUAUUAUGAGAUAAGUAGCUAUUAGAGCAUUUUGAAUAGAGGAGUAUUUUAUACCCCAAUAAAAAUCACAGUCAGCAAAAACCUUUAAGUACAGAAGAGUGUCUGUAUUACCCUAGCUGCUGUCUUUGGAAUAAAUUGUAGAAGACCAAGGACAAAAUCAGGGAGAUUAAUUAAGAGGUCAUUGUAAUAAUCCAGGUGUGAGAUGGUGGGGAUUUAGGCUAGGCUGCUAGCAGUUUAGGUGAUAAGAGGUUUGAUUGGGGACAUAUUUUGAAUUCGUUGAUGAUUAAGAUGUGAAGUGUAGAAGAAAAGUUUUGAGGAUGGUUCCAGUUAUUAGUGUGAGCAACUGGAAAGAUGGCGUUGAUAUUAACUGAGAUAGGGAAGACUAGAAGUAAUAGAUUUGAGAGGGAAGAUGAUGAGUUUGGUUUGGGGCAUAUUUUAGUUUGAGAUAUCUAUUAGAUAUCCAAGUUGAGAUGUCAUAAUCAUUCAUCUGUAUGAAUUUAGUGGGGUGUUCUAGGCUGUAAAUAUCAUUUAACAUUUUUAAAUGUCAUGGGAAUAAAUACAAGUAAAACUGGGGAAAACAAUAAGAUUGGUGUAUGCAUCACUGUCAACAUCCUGGUUAUGCUUUUGUGUUAUCAUUUUGUACUAUUAUUUUGUAUUAUAAGAUGUUAUCACUGGGGAAACUGGACAAAGGGAAUCUCUCUGUGUUAUUUCUUAUAACUGCAUGCGAAUAUACAAUUAUACCAAAAUUUAAGAUUCAAUGAAAAGAAGAAAAAAAAAAAAAAAAAGAUUCAAUGAAAAAAGUCAUGGGAUCACCAAGGGAUAGUAGAGAGAAAGAGAAAAGGCAAGGUCCACAGACUGAGCUCUGGGGAAUCUGAUAGUAAAACGUCAGGGAGAUGAAAAGGAAUUGGCAAAGGAAACUGAGGAGAGGCCAGUGGUGUAGGAGUGGCAGUGUUCUUCGAGCCUCAGUUAUCUUGUUUGUAAAAUGUAAAUGCUGACUUGUCCUAGAGUUCUGAGAUUCUGUUAUUCAAUAUUGGUUAUACUUAUAUGUCAUAAUUUGUUCUUAUGACAAGAUAAGUUUAGAAUGCCACAUAUCCUUAUCCCCAGUAGCAGAAACAGGGACUCUUUGACCUUGAGAAAAUCAAAUGUUCACAUUAUUCCUCAGCACGUUUAACUCUUUCAUAUACUCUUUUAAAAGUAGUUCUCUUUCACUUCUAUUAAAGAAGGUAACUUUGUCAGUUUUUCCCAAGUUCUGUACUGUAGAACUAAUGUCCAUAAUUUAUAAGUUGGGGGGGGGAGUUUCCAUGGCCAAAUAAAUUUAGGCAAUGCAAGUUAAAGUUAAACUGAUUGUUUGAUAUGGGCUUUUUCAUGCUGUAUGCGGCUUGUGAAUGUCUAAGAGAAUAUUUAUUUGACCUUAGAAUUUUUUUCUUUGAAUACGUAUUAACUUCUUAUCUCCGUGGAAUAACGUGUAGAAUACUGAUCUGGAGUAAUCCUUCUUCAGAUUUUAUGAACUGGGAAAUAAAAAAGUAUUGAUAGUUGUGUAGGGUGUUGCCUAAGAUGGAUUCCUAGACAUUUCAUUUAUGUUUAUGAAUCAUUUGUAAGAUAGAGUUUGUAACUAGAUGCUAGCAAUGUAAACUUUCAUAUUUUUAGAAAUAUCAGAAAAAUUAUAUCCUCAUUAUUAUGUUUGUGAAAAUCUAAUAAAUGCAUAACAGAGGCAGACCAGUUAUUAGUUUAUUUUGCCUCUGAUUAUAGCAGCAAGGGAUUUUUUUUGUUGGAGAGUAUGGUUACUUUACAUGAUUUCACACUAAGAAGCUUAAGAAUCUCAUUAUUUCUAGCUUCUCUCUGUAACUCUUUAUGCUUAGCUCAUCAAUCUACCCACUUACCUACUUUUCUUGAGACUAUUUUCAGCCUUUUAUUAUCUGUUAAGGAGUUUCUUAUAUAGUAAAGUUUUACUUCCUACUUAAACAGCUUCCUGAGAACUUCUUUGAUACUAAGAUUAGGUCAUUUGAUAGCCAGCUUCAUUUUAAACCCCCUCAGACCCUUAAAGGUACAGUGUGGUAUAUUGGUUAAAGAGCAUAGGCUAUGCAGUUGAUUGCCUAGUUUGGAGUUCCUACCCUGCUGUUUACUAGAACAUGUGUGACUUUGGGUUGGUUACAGACUUCUGUGCUUCAUUCAUGUUUUGUAAAAUGCAUACAAACAACAGUACCUGUUCAUAAUGUGUAGAGGGAAUUAAAUGAAUUAGUAUAUGUAUAUAGUACUUAGAAAGUGGUGCAUAGGAGGCACUAUAUAACUGUAAAGUUAUUGUUACUUUUAUUACUUUUCAUAAUUUUACUUCUGCCUGCAGUUUAUUCAGGUAGAAUUAUCCUAAUCUUCAGCCUGCUUUUCAUUCUAACCUUCUCAUAACCAUUUUCACAAAUCAUGUAUGUUAACUUUCUUUUCCUAACCCAGUAAAUCUUUCUUAAGAGCCGAUCAUUUGAAGCACGUAUAAGUCAUAAAAUUAGGUUUUUGAUGUCUAAAGCUCAAUAACUUGUAUUUUUAGGGAAUAGAUAUGAAUGUUUCUAGGUUCAUUUUAGUCAUCCCUGUCUUUAAAAAUAGUAUAAAUAGUAUUUUUCUCUAAAUUAUAUUGCCUUAUACUGACCACACCAUGGUUUGUCUCAUACUUUCAGCCCACCUCUCUGAUUUUGAGAUCCUUCUACAGCCUCACUCUAGUCAUUUUGGUAUUUGCCCACCUGGAAGAGCUUAUCUUCCUCUACAAAAUGGAGAAGCUGCUGUGCAUCUCUUUUUCUAUAUCAUUUAUUGAAAUGUGGGAACUUACUGUUUUUAAUCCUCCACACAGAAAAGUAUCUUUAUCCUUACUUCUGUGUAGUGUUGGGAAAGGAGUACAGCUUUUAAAUAAGGCAGUCAUAGGUGUAAAUCCUGGCUGUAUAUCUAACCAGCUCUGUAGCCUUGUGAAAAUUACUUCACCUUGUCUUCCUCAUUAGUGAAAGGUAUGUAAUAAUUCUUUGCAAGGUGGCUAUAAGAAAUAGAGAUAAUCUGUGGACAUUAAAUUAUGAAUUUAAAUAAUUCAAAUUACUUAAAUAAUUAAUUAAAAUUAUUUGGCACUGGCCUGACAAAAAAGUAAUCAUUCAAUAAACGCCAGUUGUUGGUGCCAUAGCUGCUGUUGCUGAUAUUACUACUACUGACUACUGCUGUUCCUGCUGCUGCUCCAGCUAUUAUUGCUGUUAGUACUACUAUUACUGAUACUACUUCCAGGAGACCCUGGGAACUACGUAUCAGUGGGUUCUUCUCAUCAUUGAGAGUUUUAGUGGCAAUCCAUCUGUACUGUAGUUAUUUGUAAUUUUAGCUCAUAGUUCACAGGUCUUGGAGUAUAUUCCUCCAAACUGCUGGAUGGAUGGCAUUUUAUUACAGUGUUUAAUUGUACCUCAUAUAAUUCUCAAAUGUCAGAAUUUGAUUGUAGUUCUGACUUUUCCUGUCUAAAGACUAUGAAGCAGCACCCUUGUUAAAAACUGGUACAUAAUCCUCUCUGCUUAGAAGGAAAACUGUUUUUUUUCUUUUGAGCUUACAGAAUUUCUUUUUUAAAGAAAACCUUUUAUUAAUUAUUUCCAGGCAUUCAUUUUCAGUCCUCUUGGCUAUUUAUCUAAUACUACUAAGUUUAUGAAACUGUGUAAUUGUGCUAGUUAGCAAUAGUAAAGUGGCUCUUUCUUUUGUAGACCUUUGAAGUGAUUUUUUUAAAUCUACUUUUCUCAGAUGUUAGAUUGUAACUCGAUCAUGAAAUUGCUCUUUUCUCUGUUUCUCCCUUCUUCCAUUUUCUUCUGUAUAUCUAUCUGGAUAGAUUAAUUAUUACAUAGAAUGGAAGUAAAGUUUUAAAUUUUGCAAGGUUUGUUUCCUUGACAAAAAGUUGAGAGUAGAUAUUUCCCUCUAGCAAUCUUCAGAGCAUAAGAAUCCAUAGUAAAUCCAUAAAACUCAAGCUUGGAAAACUUGGCUACUCAGCCAAAGUUGUCUAUUUAUUGACUGAAUCAAAUGUCCUAAAAGCCACAGUUUGAAGUGAUUUUAAAAGUUGAUUUAAUUCUCUCAAUGACUUCCAAUUUUAUUCUAAGCAAAGUAUAAUGUAAGGGCACUGACUGGAGUCAAAAUAUCAGAGUUCAAAACCCAGCUCUCUCACUUUAUGUUCAAGUUAUUCCGUUUAUUCAUUUGUAAAUAAUCUUUACAUAGUUGUUUUGAAGAUUUAAAAGAGGUGUAAAAUGUAUUUUACAGAUAAAAAUGUGUUUUAUAUUUUAUUAAAUAUCCCUAAUUUAAAGAGUGCUAGGGAAAAAAUGAAAGUGUAAAACUGACUUUCCUUGGAGCUGUGAGUUCCUCUCUUGUAUUUCUGGCUGCUGAACUUUAUACUUAGCACCAGUGGUAAUUACAUGGCUCUUUCAUAGUGUAAUAUAAAUAACCCUUCUACAUACUCAUUGACACCAAACAUUGAUUCCCUGCCUUCUGUGCCACAGGGUAAUUACACAAUAGGCAGUCAGAAAUGGAGACAUUUAUCCACAUUUUCACAGGGCCACACAGUAAACUGAUUUCAUAAUUAGUUAAACCCCUAACACCAGGUAUAUAUUACAUUAUGUGGUUUUUGUGCAGUGCUAUACCAGAAGAGAAUCUGGACUUGUUCCAAAGAGAAAUACCACUUUAUUAUACCACUCUCAACUAAACCAGUAAGUCGUUAAUUAGCUUUCAUAAAUGCAAGCAGAGAGUAAGCUCUUUUAGGAGUAUAAUGGCAACCUUUUUAAAAUAAGUUUUAUAUUUGAAAAUAAUAUUUCUGUUAAAAUGUUUACUUCUACUAACUCUAUUUCCAUUGAAGAAUAUGUAAAGAAUUGUUCCAUUAUUUUCCUGUGAAAUUCUGAACUUAUUUAGAGGAAUUAUUGGCUCUGGUCAUAAUCCAAGUUAUUAGAGUCUUAAAUGUUCAGAAUGGUUGGAGGGUCUUCAUUUCAUAUAUUUGGUUUAGCAGGAAAAAAAAAACUGAUCUCAUCUAUGAGAUACACAGAAUUUAUUUUGGGUUUGUUUCUUUCUCUAAACUUUUGAAAUGUAACUGGGAUUGGAGAUAAUGGGGGAUCAUGCCCUUAGAUUCUCUUAUCCUACCAUGGACAUUACUAUCUCAUUACUGUCUCAAACCAAAUCUUUAGUAACCGUAAAAUAGUUUUUCCUUUACAAAGUGGAUGCAAUAUAUUUGCCCCUGGUAUGUAAUUGCAAGUUAGUAAGUAGGAGCUGUGCAUCAAAAUACAGUGGUUUCUGGCAUUUUGGACUUCUGCCUUUGAUAGCUGGUAAGCAGGAAAUACUGGGAGAACCAUUGAAAGGGAAAUGUAAAUGAAACUUUACUGUAGUCCUUCAUUUAGGGCAAACUCUACCAACUUCUACCAGUGUUUCUGAGGUUACUACCAUUUUUUCAGUCUCCUGAUUCUGAGGGUAGUUUGCAUAUACAUUAUAAAUUAAGUAUUCAGGGUUUAAUUCAAUAUUGCCAGCAAAAUAAAAAAACAAAAUAACAAAAUUAUAGCCUAAGUCUGGUAUUAGAAUCUUCUGCCUCUACUGAUGGUCUUAUUUUUUGCUUCAUAUUUUACACAUAAAUAUUUUGUUUCUCUUGAUUCUUUGUAUUUACCUAGUUCUUUCCUCUGUUCAUCUAGAAUGAUUUUUUACUCUGUCUUCCCUGAUGACCGAAUUAUAUUCGUGUCUUCAGAAGUGAGUAGAUCAUUUCCUGCUAGAGUAAAUUGAUCAACAAUCAAAUAUCUUAAUUUCAGGAUGGGGGAAGUAUGGCAGAAAAAUCUCAAAACAUUGAAAAUAUUUAGGUAAAAAGCUUAAGAGCCUGUGUGGCACACUCAGGUAAAUUCUAGACAGUAAGAUUGGUUCCUGACUCUACCCAUGGCAGUAAUAAUAGCUAACAUUUAUUGAGUACAUACACUAAAUGUUUUACAUUUAUUCACUCAUUUAAUUCUCACAAACGAAUGAGAUAUGCACUGUUCUUGUCCCAAUUUUAUGGAUGAGACAGCUAAGAUACAGAUAAGUCAUUUGCCGAAGGUCACAUAGCUGUUAAAAGCCUCAAUUUAAAUUAUGAUAGUCUGUCUUCAGAGGCUAAACUGAUAAGUACUAUGUCUCUUGCUUCCUUCGUUGUGUUUGUGGUUCCAAAUGUACUUUCUUGCCUAGUUUACUAUCCAUCAGUAGCUGGAUGGGCCUAAGCGUCAGUGUGAAGGCCCUUUGUUUCCCCAGAAGGGUAGGCAACAACUGAUGCAGUUGUAGCAUUGGGACCAGAAUCUAGCCUCCCAAUCUUAGAGUAGUGUUUCUAUGAUGUAUGGGCAGUAGAACAUUUCAGCAAACAUUGGCAUAAAUUGGUCUAUUAGUGAGAUUAAUUUGGCAGUGAUACUCAGCAUGUUUUACAGUGGCAAUGUAAUGGCAUGAUUUUAAGGGAGCCUGAUUUAUAGCAGAUUUGGCUGUGAAACUAUGCAGUGGAAUUUUGAAGUAGAACCGGUUCUGUUGCUUAAUGGAGUUGUUGCUUCAGCAUUUUUAAGCUGCAGAUUUUUCUCAUUUACAAUAUAGAGGCAAUUGGAUAAUAUAAUCUCUUAGGACUCAAGUCUAAUUCUAAUAUACUAUGAUAUUUUUGAAUGGAUUGAAAAAUAAAUAGUAAAAUUCAGGGGUCAUGUUCUGGAUGACAAUUCGAGAGUUAUUGAUUUGAAAGUGGUUGUUGGAGUUGUGCCAAAGGAUGAGCUAUAUAUAUAAGACUGAGUAGGUCUGAGUGGUAAAUAUUUCUAUAUGAAUUGGCAGACAUGCAGGGGGUCAUGUUUGCUCUUGUUUACCUUUAUCCAAUUUGUACUUACAUUCUGUUGGUUUUACUUUAUCACCCCCCCAAAACCUUCCUCUUCUUCUUUGACACUGCUGCUGCUUUGCCUGGGACAGUCAUUAACUGUCUCUCUUUUUUUUUAAUAAUAAAAAUUUAUUAUUAAUAUGUUAAAUUAAUAUUUCACAAUAGAAAAAUUAUGUGAAUACAGUGACAUAGAAAUUUCUGGGACUUAGAAGUAAGAAAAAUAGUGAUCAAAAGUUUUUCCUGCUGUUUUUGGAGAGACACUUCCUGUCCUACCUAGGGAUCACAGCUGAGUAAGCAAGCAUUAGGACUGCAAGUGACUUUGAACUCUUUGUAGUUGAGAUGCCAUGUGACUUCCCAAUUUCUGUGGCCUUUUCAUUGACACAUUAUGUGUCUAACCAUUUUUUUUUUUUUUCUGAGUCAAAAACUAGGACCCAUAUUCUGAUAAAAGAAAAACAAAAAACAACUUAACCACUUUGUUGUUCUUUUGUCAGUCAUUAUCUGUCUCUUAUCUGGUCUCCCUAACGAACUUAUCCUCUUCUGAUACUGCCCUUUUUCUUUCUGAUGCACAAAUCUAAUCAUACUUUCUUAUUAACCUUAGAAUAAAGUUCUUAGCAUAAACUCUUUAGCGUGACAAUCAGGAUCUUUCCUCAGGUAGCCCUUGCUGUGUCUUCAGUUGCAUCCUUGAUUAUUCUCUGUUGUUCCCUAUCUUCUAGUCAUAUGAGAGCACUCAGUAUCAUAUCACUGCUUUGUUGUUUUUUAUUUUUUUGCUUUUGCUCUGCCUUGACUCUCUUUUCCCUGCUUUGCUAACUCCUGCUCUCGCUGCAACACCACUUUCACGGUAGUAUCUUCACUGCCUCCUUGCGUCUUUCCCCUUCGUAGUAGCUCAGUCCUUUGUAUGGCCGCAAUAUAGAUAUGUCUUUUUUAGCACUUCACAAAUCUGUAAACAUUUGCUUCAAUACAUUUCCGUGACAGUAAACUCCUUGAUAGGAGGGACUAUGUCUUAACUAUGGACUGGAACUCUUAGCACAGUACCCGAUGUAUGUGCAACCUGGUAAAUGUUCAGAUCAAUCAUCCUUUCCACACAUAUGUUAACACCUCUCAGAACAAAUAGUCAGAAAUGGUACACUAAAUGUUUUACUCAUAUUUAUUAGUAUGACGAUUACUAUCCCAAAUUUAAACUUGAAUGUGUAACUGGAAGUUCUUGAGAACUGGUUGACUUUGCUACUGGCUUGUAAAUCUCUUUUCAGCUUUUUUAGUUUGCUUAUAAGUGUUCUUAAAGAUUACGUUUUGAAAAUCAGCAUUGAAAUUUUUGGCUUUUAAAUGUUAUUAGAAGGAAAGAAUGUGGUCUGACAAAUGAAUGUGAGCAUUUUCCCCUUUAUAGCUCUUCCCUCUACCCGCUGGUAUGGUUAUAGUAUGAAUGAAACAUCAAAAGAACGCAAUGGUGUAAUUUAAUCAAAGUACUCAAUUUACAUGUAGCUUUGGAUUGGUCAUGUGAUCUGCAGAAAAUUCAAGUAGGGACAUUUAUUUCAUAUUGAGCUUUAGAGGGAAAGCAGGUUUAUAUACAGAAGAAAAAUUAUUUGCAAUCUUGCUCUCUAAUGGUUGUUGAAAUUCAUAACCAGUCAACCCUUCUGUUCCCUUUACAUUGAAAUCUUAAAUAGUGUUUGUUUUAAAUGCUAUGCAAAAUUCUUCUAUUAAAAACAUAUUGGAACAUUCACAGGUGAAAAGUAUAAUUAUUUAAUGGCAGGUCAUUAGCUCAGAACUUUGAGCUUAGCAAAUUUCACUGUCUUCUGCCAACCAAUUGAAUAUCUCAAAUGAUGACUAUUUCAGCAGGCAUCUUUAAUGAAUGAGAUUAAAGAUUAAAAAAUGAAGCUCCCACUAAGGAACAAGAACCUGUGUCUGAG